ACGUGGGCAACCUGCCUCAUAGAGGGGAAUAGCCUUCCGAAAGGGAGAUUAAUACCGCAUAAGAUUGUAGUACCGCAUGGUACAGCAAUUAAAGGAGCAAUCCGCUAUGAGAUGGGCCCGCGGCGCAUUAGCUAGUUGGUGAGGUAACGGCUCACCAAGGCGACGAUCUGUAGCCGAACUGAGAGGUUGAUCGGCCGCAUUGGGACUGAGACACGGCCCAGACUCCUACGGGAGGCAGCAUG
rnacentral:rRNA from 1 species